GACGAACGCUGGCGGCGUGCUUAACACAUGCAAGUCGAACGGAAAGGCCCUGCUUUUGUGGGGUGCUCGAGUGGCGAACGGGUGAGUAACACGUGAGUAACCUGCCCUUGACUUUGGGAUAACUUCAGGAAACUGGGGCUAAUACCGGAUAGGAGCUCCUGCUGCAUGGUGGGGGUUGGAAAGUUUCGGCGGUUGGGGAUAGACUCGCGGCUUAUCAGCUUGUUGGUGGGGUAGUGGCUUACCAAGGCUUUGACGGGUAGCCGGCCUGAGAGGGUGACCGGCCACAUUGGGACUGAGAUACGGCCCAGACUCCUACGGGAGGCAGAAGUGGGGAAUAUUGCACAAUGGGCGGAAGCCUGAUGCAGCAACGCCGCGUGCGGGAUGACGGCCUUCGGGUUGUAAACCGCUUUCGCCUGUGACGAAGCGUGAGUGACGGUAAUGGGUAAAGAAGCACCGGCUAACUACGUG
rnacentral:rRNA from 1 species